rnacentral:rRNA from 1 species
AACGCUGGCGGCGUGCCUAAUACAUGCAAGUCGAGCGAACAGACGAGGAGCUUGCUCCUCUGACGUUAGCGGCGGACGGGUGAGUAACACGUGGAUAACCUACCUAUAAGACUGGGAUAACUUCGGGAAACCGGAGCUAAUACCGGAUAAUAUAUUGAACCGCAUGGUUCAAUAGUGAAAGACGGUUUUGCUGUCACUUAUAGAUGGAUCCGCGCCGCAUUAGCUAGUUGGUAAGGUAACGGCUUACCAAGGCAACGAUGCGUAGCCGACCUGAGAGGGUGAUCGGCCACACUGGAACUGAGACACGGUCCAGACUCCUACGGGAGGCAGCAGUAGGGAAUCUUCCGCAAUGGGCGAAAGCCUGACGGAGCAACGCCGCGUGAGUGAUGAAGGUCUUCGGAUCGUAAAACUCUGUUAUUAGGGAAGAACAAAUGUGUAAGUAACUAUGCACGUCUUGACGGUACCUAAUCAGAAAGCCACGGCUAACUACGUGCCAGCAGCCGCGGUAAUACGUAGGUGGCAAGCGUUAUCCGGAAUUAUUGGGCGUAAAGCGCGCGUAGGCGGUUUUUUAAGUCUGAUGUGAAAGCCCACGGCUCAACCGUGGAGGGUCAUUGGAAACUGGAAAACUUGAGUGCAGAAGAGGAAAGUGGAAUUCCAUGUGUAGCGGUGAAAUGCGCAGAGAUAUGGAGGAACACCAGUGGCGAAGGCGACUUUCUGGUCUGUAACUGACGCUGAUGUGCGAAAGCGUGGGGAUCAAACAGGAUUAGAUACCCUGGUAGUCCACGCCGUAAACGAUGAGUGCUAAGUGUUAGGGGGUUUCCGCCCCUUAGUGCUGCAGCUAACGCAUUAAGCACUCCG